rnacentral:rRNA from 1 species
CAGCAGCCGCGGUAAUACGUAGGGGGCAAGCGUUAUCCGGAUUUACUGGGUGUAAAGGGAGCGUAGACGGCGCGGCAAGUCCGAAGUGAAAGGCGGGGGCCCAACCCCCGGACUGCUCUGGAAACUGUCAUGCUUGAGUGCGGGAGGGGCAGGCGGAAUUCCUAGUGUAGCGGUGAAAUGCGUAGAUAUUAGGAGGAACACCGGCGGCGAAGGCGGCCUGCUGGACCGUAACUGACGUUGAGGCUCGAAGGCGUGGGGAGCAAACAGGAUUAGAUACCCUGGUAGUCCACGCGGUAAACGAUGAUCACUAGGUGUCCGGGGACACGGUCCCCGGGUGCCGCAGCCAACGCAUUAAGUGACCCACCUGGGGAGUACGUUCGCAAGAAUAAACUCAAAUGAAUUGACGG